rnacentral:rRNA from 1 species
GGGUUGUGAGGUUAAGCGACUAAGCGUACACGGUGGAUGCCCUGGCAGUCAGAGGCGAUGAAGGACGUGCUAAUCUGCGAUAAGCGUCGGUGAGGUGAUAUGAACCGUUAUAACCGGCGAUUUCCGAAUGGGGAAACCCAGUGUGUUUCGACACACUAUCAUUAACUGAAUCCAUAGGUUAAUGAGGCGAACCGGGGGAACUGAAACAUCUAAGUACCCCGAGGAAAAGAAAUCAACCGAGAUUCCCCCAGUAGCGGCGAGCGAACGGGGAGGAGCCCAGAGCCUGAAUCAGUGUGUGUGUUAGUGGAAGCGUCUGGAAAGGCGCGCGAUACAGGGUGACAGCCCCGUACACAAAAAUGCACAUAUUGUGAGCUCGAUGAGUAGGGCGGGACACGUGGUAUCCUGUCUGAAUAUGGGGGGACCAUCCUCCAAGGCUAAAUACUCCUGACUGACCGAUAGUGAACCAGUACCGUGAGGGAAAGGCGAAAAGAACCCCGGCGAGGGGAGUGAAAAAGAACCUGAAACCGUGUACGUACAAGCAGUGGGAGCCUCUUUAUGGGGUGACUGCGUACCUUUUGUAUAAUGGGUCAGCGACUUAUAUUCUGUAGCAAGGUUAACCGAAUAGGGGAGCCGAAGGGAAACCGAGUCUUAACUGGGCGUUAAGUUGCAGGGUAUAGACCCGAAACCCGGUGAUCUAGCCAUGGGCAGGUUGAAGGUUGGGUAACACUAACUGGAGGACCGAACCGACUAAUGUUGAAAAAUUAGCGGAUGACUUGUGGCUGGGGGUGAAAGGCCAAUCAAACCGGGAGAUAGCUGGUUCUCCCCGAAAGCUAUUUAGGUAGCGCCUCGUGAAUUCAUCUCCGGGGUAGAGCACUGUUUCGGCAAGGGGGUCAUCCCGACUUACCAACCCGAUGCAAACUGCGAAUACCGGAGAAUGUUAUCACGGGAGACACACGGCGGGUGCUAACGUCCGUCGUGAAGAGGGAAACAACCCAGACCGCCAGCUAAGGUCCCAAAGUCAUGGUUAAGUGGGAAACGAUGUGGGAAGGCCCAGACAGCCAGGAUGUUGGCUUAGAAGCAGCCAUCAUUUAAAGAAAGCGUAAUAGCUCACUGGUCGAGUCGGCCUGCGCGGAAGAUGUAACGGGGCUAAACCAUGCACCGAAGCUGCGGCAGCGACACUAUGUGUUGUUGGGUAGGGGAGCGUUCUGUAAGCCUGUGAAGGUGGCCUGUGAGGGUUGCUGGAGGUAUCAGAAGUGCGAAUGCUGACAUAAGUAACGAUAAAGCGGGUGAAAAGCCCGCUCGCCGGAAGACCAAGGGUUCCUGUCCAACGUUAAUCGGGGCAGGGUGAGUCGACCCCUAAGGCGAGGCCGAAAGGCGUAGUCGAUGGGAAACAGGUUAAUAUUCCUGUACUUGGUGUUACUGCGAAGGGGGACGGAGAAGGCUAUGUUGGCCGGGCGACGGUUGUCCCGGUUUAAGCGUGUAGGCUGGUUUUCCAGGCAAAUCCGGAAAACCAAGGCUGAGGCGUGAUGACGAGGCACUACGGUGCUGAAGCGACAAAUGCCCUGCUUCCAGGAAAAGCCUCUAAGCAUCAGGUAACAUCAAAUCGUACCCCAAACCGACACAGGUGGUCAGGUAGAGAAUACCAAGGCGCUUGAGAGAACUCGGGUGAAGGAACUAGGCAAAAUGGUGCCGUAACUUCGGGAGAAGGCACGCUGAUAUGUAGGUGAAGCGACUUGCUCGUGGAGCUGAAAUCAGUCGAAGAUACCAGCUGGCUGCAACUGUUUAUUAAAAACACAGCACUGUGCAAACACGAAAGUGGACGUAUACGGUGUGACGCCUGCCCGGUGCCGGAAGGUUAAUUGAUGGGGUUAGCGGUAACGCGAAGCUCUUGAUCGAAGCCCCGGUAAACGGCGGCCGUAACUAUAACGGUCCUAAGGUAGCGAAAUUCCUUGUCGGGUAAGUUCCGACCUGCACGAAUGGCGUAAUGAUGGCCAGGCUGUCUCCACCCGAGACUCAGUGAAAUUGAACUCGCUGUGAAGAUGCAGUGUACCCGCGGCAAGACGGAAAGACCCCGUGAACCUUUACUAUAGCUUGACACUGAACAUUGAGCCUUGAUGUGUAGGAUAGGUGGGAGGCUUUGAAGUGUGGACGCCAGUCUGCAUGGAGCCGACCUUGAAAUACCACCCUUUAAUGUUUGAUGUUCUAACGUUGGCCCGUAAUCCGGGUUGCGGACAGUGUCUGGUGGGUAGUUUGACUGGGGCGGUCUCCUCCUAAAGAGUAACGGAGGAGCACGAAGGUUGGCUAAUCCUGGUCGGACAUCAGGAGGUUAGUGCAAUGGCAUAAGCCAGCUUGACUGCGAGCGUGACGGCGCGAGCAGGUGCGAAAGCAGGUCAUAGUGAUCCGGUGGUUCUGAAUGGAAGGGCCAUCGCUCAACGGAUAAAAGGUACUCCGGGAUAACAGGCUGAUACCGCCCAAGAGUUCAUAUCGACGGCGGUGUUUGGCACCUCGAUGUCGGCUCAUCACAUCCUGGGGCUGAAGUAGGUCCCAAGGGUAUGGCUGUUCGCCAUUUAAAGUGGUACGCGAGCUGGGUUUAGAACGUCGUGAGACAGUUCGGUCCCUAUCUGCCGUGGGCGCUGGAGAACUGAGGGGGGCUGCUCCUAGUACGAGAGGACCGGAGUGGACGCAUCACUGGUGUUCGGGUUGUCAUGCCAAUGGCACUGCCCGGUAGCUAAAUGCGGAAGAGAUAAGUGCUGAAAGCAUCUAAGCACGAAACUUGCCCCGAGAUGAGUUCUCCCUGACUCCUUGAGAGUCCUGAAGGAACGUUGAAGACGACGACGUUGAUAGGCCGGGUGUGUAAGCGCAGCGAUGCGUUGAGCUAACCGGUACUAAUGAACCGUGAGGCUUAACCUUACAACGCCGAAG